UUAACCCACAGCAUUGUGGGAAGGUUGACGAUGCCUCUUCCAUAUGAAUCAUUUCUACGCAAGAAUUUAGAUAACAUAUUUUUCCUCAAGAUUCGGCCUUAGCCUCACAUUGCAGCUUCACGAUGGUGAGUCAAAUGUCGUCAUUUGGUUCCAUUGUUCAAGUUUUGACAUAUUUUACAGGGCAAGUAGGGGGGCAAGCUCUCUUUAUAGCAUGCACCUGUCCAAAAGUUGCGCUUCCUGCUGCUGUUCAGCCGGCAGGGGAAGCUGCGACUGCAGAAGUGGUUCACUCCGGUGACUGAGAGAGAGAAAAAGAAGGUGAUCAGGGAAAUGACUCUGAUGGUGCUGGCUCGCCCUCCCCGCUCCUGUAACUUCCUCCACUGGAGGGACCUCAAGAUUGUUUACAAGAGGUGUGUGAGCUGGACAUCAUCUUUAACUUUGAGAAGGCCUACUUCAUCCUUGAUGAGUUCCUGAUGGGAGGAGAGAUCCUGGAGACCUCCAAGACAGCUGUGGGCAUUGCUAUGGAGGAGGCAGAGACACUACAAGAGACAAUGGAGGAGUAUAUGAGUAAACCGACCUACUGAACCAAUAACAAGGACAUGAGUCGAACCUUAAGACUGAAGAAUCCUUUCCUCAGUUGCUAUAAGUGCCACAACAUUUAACAUAUUAAACUGUAAUACACUCUUCUAUUCAGACAUCACACAUAGUAAUACACUCUUCCAUUCAGACAUCACACAUAGUAAUACACUCUUCCAUUCAGACAUCACACAUAGUAAUACACUCUUCCAUUCAGACAUCACACAUAGUAAUACACUCUUCCAUUCAGACAUCACACAUAGUAAUACACUCUUCCAUUCAGACAUCACACAUAGUAAUACACUCUUCCAUUCAGACAUCACACAUAGUAAUACACUCUUCCAUUCAGACAUCACACAUAGUAAUACACUCUUCCAUUCAGACAUCACACAUAGUAAUACACUCUUCCAUUCAGACAUCACACAUAGUAAUACACUCUUCCAUUCAGACAUCACACAUAGUAAUACACUCUUCCAUUCAGACAUCACACAUAGUAAUACACUCUUCCAUUCAGACAUCACACAUAGUCUGUUUUAUGUAAGCACUUUCUAAAAGAUGCAUUAGGAGUUUUAGAAUUCAGGAGUUUGUUUUAAAACACAGUUUUACUUUUGUUACUUUUAGAUAUUUUUUUGUGUUUUAGUUUAAACUAUUUUAUAAUGACAUUAUAUUUGAUAGGAUCAUACAGGUUUUUAAAAAAUGGUA